AGAACGAACGCUGGCGGCAUGCCUAACACAUGCAAGUCGAACGAAGCCUUCGGGCUUAGUGGCGCACGGGUGCGUAACACGUGGGAAUCUGCCCUUAGGUACGGAAUAACUCAGGGAAACUUGAGCUAAUACCGUAUGAUGUCUUCGGACCAAAGAUUUAUCGCCUAAGGAUGAGCCCGCGUCGGAUUAGCUAGUUGGUGGGUAAAGCCUACAAGACGACGAUCCGUAGCUGGUCUGAGAGGAUGAUCAGCCACACUGGGACUGAGACACGGCCCAGACUCCUACGGGAGGCAGCAGUAGGGAAUAUUGGACAAUGGGCGCAAGCCUGAUCCAGCAAUGCCGCGUGAGUGAUGAAGGCCUUAGGUGUAAAGCUCUUUUACCCGAGAUGAUAAUGACAGUAUCGGGAGAAGUAAGCCCCGGCUAAACUCCGUGCCAGCAGCCGC
rnacentral:rRNA from 1 species